rnacentral:rRNA from 1 species
GACGAACGCUGGCGGCGUGCCUAACACAUGCAAGUCGAGCGAGAAUUUACUGACGGAACCCUUUUGGGUGAAGAUAGUGAAGGAAAGCGGCGGACGGGUGAGUAACGCGUGAGUAACCUGCCUUCAGGGAGGGGGACAACAUUCCGAAAGGGAUGCUAAUACCGCAUAACAUAUUCGAAUCGCAUGGUUUGAAUAUCAAAGAUUUAUCGCCUGAAGAUGGACUCGCGUCUGAUUAGAUAGUUGGUGGGGUAACGGCGUCACCAAGUCGACGAUCAGUAGCCGAACUGAGAGGUUGAACGGCCACAUUGGAACUGAGAUACGGUCCAGACUCCUACGGGAGGCAGCAGUGGGGAAUAUUGGGCAAUGGGCGCAAGGCCUGACCCAGCAACGCCGUGUGAAGGAAGAAGGGUCUUCGGGAUUGUAAACUUUGUCUUAUGGGACGAUAAUGACGGUACCAUAGGAGGAAGUCACGACUAACUACGUG